AAGGGGAGAGAGAAGGGUGGGGAUGAGGCUUUCGUUGCCCACCGUUCAUCCAAGAUAAAACCCUUUUCCUUUCUCCCUGCAAAUAUAUUGCUCACCACAACAUCAUACCAAAGCAAAAGGAGAGAGCUUUCAUUUGUUUUGGGAAGAAGAUAAACUAACUCGAUUGAGAGAGAGCAAAAUGGCACUAAGAAUAUGGGCAUCUUCAACUGCUAAUGCUUUGCGACUCUCAGUUGCCUCCAAAGCUCCUGCUUUCUCUUCCCUCUCCAGAUGCUUCUCCACUGGUAAUAAUCGUAUUAACAAUCCCCACCCUUUUAAUUUCCUGUUUAUGUCUUUAAUUAUGAACUGUAAGCAAAUCUGUAUAUGGCCAUGGUUGCAGUAAUGGAUGGAGUUAAGUACGCAAAGUCACACGAGUGGGUGAAGCAUGAUGGUUCUGUGGCUCUUGUUGGCAUCACUGAUCACGCUCAGGUACUCAUUUCAUUCCCUUGUUCGAUAAGAUAGACUUUUGGGUAAGAUGUUUUCGUAUUAAUUCUUAAUUUAGUAACAGGUGGAAAUCCUUUAUAUGGUAGAUUAAGAUUGGACAUGAUAUACUAACGUGGUAUUUGAGAUAUUGAGGUGAAUUAUUAUUGAAUUGGUUGCUAAUAUUAAUGAAGUGCAGGAUCAUCUUGGGGAAGUUGUGUUCGUGGAGUUGCCGGAGAGUGGGAGUUCAGUGAGCCAAGGAGGAAGCUUUGCUAACAUUGAGAGUGUUAAAGCUACCAGUGAUGUCAACUCCCCAAUUUCAGGGGACAUUGUUGAAGUUAACACCAAGCUCACUGAAACCCCAGGACUGGU
rnacentral:lncRNA from 1 species